rnacentral:rRNA from 1 species
AUUGAACGCUGGCGGCAGGCUUAACACAUGCAAGUCGAGCGGAGAUGAGGUGCUUGCACCUUAUCUUAGCGGCGGACGGGUGAGUAAUGCUUAGGAAUCUGCCUAUUAGUGGGGGACAACAUUCCGAAAGGAAUGCUAAUACCGCAUACGUCCUACGGGAGAAAGCAGGGGAUCUUCGGACCUUGCGCUAAUAGAUGAGCCUAAGUCGGAUUAGCUAGUUGGUGGGGUAAAGGCCUACCAAGGCGACGAUCUGUAGCGGGUCUGAGAGGAUGAUUCCCCAACCUGGGACUUGGACACGGCCCAGACUCCUACGGGAGGCAGCAGUGGGGAAUAUGGGACAAUGGGGGGAACCCUGAUCCAGCCAUGCCGCGUGUGUGAAGAAGGCCUUGUGGUUGGAAAGCACUUUAAGCGAGGAGGAGGCUACUGAGACUAAUACUCUUGGAUAGUGGACGUUACCCGCAGAAUAAGCACCGGCUAACUCUGUGCCAGCCGCCGCCGUAA